rnacentral:rRNA from 1 species
CUUCCGCAAUGCGCGAAAGCGUGACGGGGGUAGUCCGAGUGCCGUCCUAACGGACGGCUUUUAGCGAGCCCGAUACGCUCGUUGAAUAAGUGGUGGGUAAAUCCUGUGCCAGCCGCCGCGGUAACACAGGUAGCACAAGUGGUAUCCACGAAUAUUGAGCUUAAAGCGCCCGUAGCCGGCUCGUCAAGUUUCCUGUGAAAUCUUCAGGCUUAACCUGAAGGCGUGCAGGAAAUACUAACGGGCUCGGGAGUGGAGGAGGCAUGGGGUACUGUAGGGGGAGGAGUAAAAUCCUGUAAUCCUUGCAGGACCGCCAGUGGCGAAGGCGCCAUGCCAAGACACGUCCGACGGUGAGGGACGAAGGCUAGGGGAGCAAAUCGGAUUAGAUACCCGAGUAGUCCUAGCAGUAAAUGAUGCAGACUUGGCGUCGCAUCCGCUUCGUGCGGAUGCGGUGCCGUAGGGAAACCGUUAAGUCUGCCGCUUGGGGAGUACGGUCGCAAGACUGAAACUUAAAGGAAUUGGCGGGGGGAAACAC